UACGUAGGGGGCAAGCGUUGUUCGGAAUUACUGGGCGUAAAGGGCGCGUAGGCGGCACAGCGAGUCGGGAGUGAAAGCCCGGGGCUCAACCCCCGGAAUGGCUUUCGAAACUGCUGAGCUAGAGUACAGAAGGGGCAACCGGAAUUCCCAGUGUAGCGGUGAAAUGCGUAGAUAUUGGGAGGAACACCUAUGGCGAAGGCAGCUCGCUGGGACGUUACUGACGCUGAGACGCGAAAGCGUGGGGAGCAAACAGG
rnacentral:rRNA from 1 species